rnacentral:rRNA from 1 species
UACGUAGGGUCCGAGCGUUGUCCGGAAUUACUGGGCGUAAAGAGCUCGUAGGUGGUUUGUCGCGUUUGUCCGUGAAAACUCACAGCUCAACUGUGGGCGUGCGGGCGAUACGGGCAGACUGGAGUACUGCAGGGGAGACUGGAAUCCUGGUGUAGCGGUGGAAUGCGCAGAUAUCAGGAGGAACACCGGUGGCGAAGGCGGGUCUCUGGGCAGUAACUGACGCUGAGGAGCGAAAGCGUGGGGAGCGAACAGGA